AGACGUUUUCAUCAAUGUAAUUCCCUGGCUUCAGAUCGGCUGGGGUUGUUGGGUCUUCCUAUUCCACCUUUCCACCUCCUAUUGGCACCCAGGGUAUUUUUACUUGAUGCUCUGUAAGUGAAAAGUCCCGUGUCCCUCCCAUCCAAAUGCCUGUGAACUGAGGGAAUUCACAAGUUUUCUUUUUUCCCCUUGUUGAGAAAAAAUGCCUGACGAGGCUAAUGAACAUAGUGCUACAUGUGGUUAAUAAUUAAUGAAAAAGUGCAAGGCAAGCACAGAUAGCUACUGGAAAAGCCCCAGAAAUUUCUUGAGAUUAAAAUUCUUUAGCUGCUUCUGGUGACUGCUUCCUCACAGGACACAAGAAUAUAAGGAAAAUACAGAAAAUUCCUGUUUCCAGAGUAUCUGGAAAAGAAGUGAAAUCUCAAAACAGGUUUAGACUGGUGUCUUGUUGACAGAAACUGAAAAUCUAUCCUAGAAUUCAGCAGAAGCUAUAAGCAGAAAAAAGACCAAGCGAUCCACAGGAGCUUCUGUGUCCUAUUGAUUUGGAGAAAUCUCCAGGAGCUCACCAACAAAGAUUUAAGUUGACAAGCAGG